UACGGAGGGUGCAAACGUUGUUCGGAAUUACUGGGCGUAAAGCGCGUGUAGGCUGCUCGGAACGUCGGAUGUGAAAGCCCUGGGCUCAACCUAGGAAGUGCAUUCGAAACUUCCGAGCUGGAGUGCUGGAGAGGAAGGCGGAAUUCUCGGUGUAGAGGUGAAAUUCGUAGAUAUCGAGAGGAACACCGGUGGCGAAGGCGGCCUUCUGGACAGUGACUGACGCUGAGACGCGAAAGCGUGGGGAGCAAACAGG
rnacentral:rRNA from 1 species